GCGGGAUUCGUAUAGUGGCAAUACCCUGGCUUCCCAAGCCCGUGCGGCGGGUUCGAUUCCCGCAUCCCGCU
rfam:Roseateles aquatilis strain CCTG 48205 Scaffold3_1, whole genome shotgun sequence.